rnacentral:rRNA from 1 species
CUUGGUCAUUUAGAGGAAGUAAAAGUCGUAACAAGGUUUCCGUAGGUGAACCUGCGGAAGGAUCAUUAAGGAAUUGCCCCAUUUUUUGAAAUGGGUUCUAUUCCCAAACCGUGUAUACAUACCUUUGUUGCUUUGGCAAGCCGUCCUUCGGGCGCAGCUUCGGCUGAGAGCGCUUGCCAGAGGACCCCAACUCUUUUGUUUAGUGAUGUCUGAGUACUAUAUAAUAGUUAAAACUUUCAACAACGGAUCUCUUGGUUCUGGCAUCGAUGAAGAACGCAGCGAAAUGCGAUAAGUAAUGUGAAUUGCAGAAUUCAGUGAAUCAUCGAAUCUUUGAACGCACAUUGCGCCCCUUGGUAUUCCGAGGGGCAUGCCUGUUCGAGCGUCAUUAUGACCACUCAAGCCUAGCUUGGUAUUGGGGUUCGCGGUCUCGCGGCUCUUAAAAUCAGUGGCGGUGCCAUCUGGCUCUAAGCGUAGUAAUUCUCUCGCUAUAGGGCUCCGGUAGUUGCUUGCCAAAACCCCCCUAUUUCUCUCGGUUGACCUCGGAUCAGGUAGGGAUACCCGCUGAACUUAAGCAUAUCAAUAAGCGGAGG